rnacentral:rRNA from 1 species
UACGUAGGGUGCAAGCGUUGUCCGGAAUUAUUGGGCGUAAAGAGCUUGUAGGCGGUUUGUCGCGUCUGCCGUGAAAGUCCGGGGCUCAACUCCGGAUCUGCGGUGGGUACGGGCAGACUAGAGUGAUGUAGGGGGAGACUGGAAUUCCUGGUGUAGCGGUGAAAUGCGCAGAUAUCAGGAGGAACACCGAUGGCGAAGGCAGGUCUCUGGGCAUUAACUGACGCUGAGGAGCGAAAGUGUGGGGAGCGAACAGG